rnacentral:rRNA from 1 species
GUGACGGUACCUGAUGAAUAAGCCCCGGCUAACUAUGUGCCAGCAGCCGCGGUAAUACAUAGGGGGCAAGCGUUAUCCGGAAUUAUUGGGCGUAAAGGGUGCGUAGGUGGUUAGUUAAGUCUUUGGUAUAAGUGCAGCGCUCAACGCUGUGACGCUAAAGAAACUGGCUAACUUGAGUGUAGUAGAGGCAAGUGGAAUUCCAUGUGUAGCGGUAAAAUGCGUAAAUAUAUGGAGGAACACCAGUGGCGAAGGCGGCUUGCUGGGCUACAACUGACACUGAGGCACGAAAGCGUGGGGAGCAAACAGGAUUAGAUACCCUGGUAGUCCACGCCGUAAACGAUGAGUACUAAGUGUUGGAGAAAUUCAGUGCUGUAGUUAACGCAAUAAGUACUCCGCCUGAGUAGUACGUACGCAAGUAUGAAACUCAAAGGAAUUGACGGGACCCCGCACAAGCGGUGGAUCAUGUUGUUUAAUUCGAUGAUACGCGAAGAACCUUACCAGGUCUUGACAUCCCAUGCAAAGCUAUAGAGAUAUAGUGGAGGUUAUCAUGGAGACAGGUGGUGCAUGGUUGUCGUCAGCUCGUGUCGUGAGAUGUUGGGUUAAGUCCCGCAACGAGCGCAACCCUUAUUGCUAGUUACCAUCAUUAAGUUGGGGACUCUAGCGAGACUGCCAGUGAUAAACUGGAGGAAGGUGGGGAUGACGUCAAAUCAUCAUGCCCCUUAUGACCUGGGCUACAAACGUGAUACAAUGGCUGAAACAAAGGGC